GACGAACGCUGGCGGCGUGCUUAACACAUGCAAGUCGAACGGAAAGGCCCUGCUUUUGUGGGGUGCUCGAGUGGCGAACGGGUGAGUAACACGUGAGUAACCUGCCCUUGACUUUGGGAUAACUUCAGGAAACUGGGGCUAAUACCGGAUAGGAGCUCCUGCUGCAUGGUGGGGGUUGGAAAGUUUCGGCGGUUGGGGAUGGACUCGCGGCUUAUCAGCUUGUUGGUGGGGUAGUGGCUUACCAAGGCUUUGACGGGUAGCCGGCCUGAGAGGGUGACCGGCUACAUUGGGACUGAGAUACGGCCCAGACUCCUACGGGAGGCAGCAGUGGAGAAUAUUGCACAAUGGGCGGAAGCCUGAUGCAGCAACGCCGCGUGCGGGAUGACGGCCUUCGGGUUGUAAACCGCUUUCGCCUGUGACGAAGCGUGAGUGACGGUAAUGGGUAAAGAAGCACCGGCUAACUACGUG
rnacentral:rRNA from 1 species